UGGGGGAUAUUGCACAAUGGGCGAAAGCCUGAUGCAGCGACGCCGCGUGGGGGAUGAAGGCUUUCGGGUUGUAAACCUCUUUCGCUAUCGAACAAGGCCCGCUUAGGGUGGGUUGAGGGUAGGUGGAGAAGAAGCGCCGGCUAACUACGUGCCAGCAGCCGCGGUAAUACGUAGGGCGCGAGCGUUGUCCGGAAUUAUUGGGCGUAAAGGGCUUGUAGGCGGCUUGUUGCGCCUGCUGUGAAAACGCGGGGCUUAACUUCGCGCGUGCAGUGGGUACGGGCAGGCUUGAGUGUGGUAGGGGUGACUGGAAUUCCAGGUGUAGCGGUGGAAUGCGCAGAUAUCUGGAGGAACACCGAUGGAGAAGGCAGGUCACUGGGCCAUAACUGACGCUGAAAAGCGAAAACAUGGGUAGCGAACGGG
rnacentral:rRNA from 1 species